AAGAGAAAAUUCCCUCAGUGCCAUCAUAACCUAUACCAAUUCUCUAUAUGCCAUCAAAAGUUAUAAGUUUCCUUCGAUGCCAUUAGUUUAGAUUCUAAAUCCCUUCAAAGCUAUCACCGUCACUGAUGCCAUCUACUACCGUUACUGGUUCAUUUGGACCCACUCGUCAUACUAUAACCUCGUUCCUAUACCUCUCUUUAUUUAUCUCCAUGACUCGUGUACAGGAGGAAAAAAGGUGCGGCUUAUACCUCUCUUUAUUUAUCUCCAUGACUCGUGUACAGGAGGAAAAAAGGUGUGGCUGCUGCCCAACGGGUGCGCCAGAGCCGCCCUAGCUUCACGAGUCAUGCAUGCGGGCGUGAUCGUCGCCCGUCUUGGCCUCACGUGUUCUCUUCCAAGCCAGUGUUGCGACAAUGUCAGCUAACCACUAUGUGGCAAGGCCACAGGUGUCGGUGAGCAAGUGGAGCGCGACCUCGAGCUACCCGAGAAGGGCGACAUACUGUGGCAGGUCCCAGCGACGACCAUGCGGUAGAGCAGUGGCGGCUCGAGGUUGUGCACAACGUCGAACACCUUAACACGACAGUCACUGAGCCCUCGCGGUCUAUGUUGGGUCUCUGCUGCGGUGAGCACCUCCCGCGACAUGCAUUGGACGCACUGACGUCGCCAUGGCCGAGAGGCACACCAGGAUCCCGUCCAGCCUAGGCGUCGGCUCGUCGGCCAGCGCGCACGCUCGCUCUAGGCCGGUCCAGAGCACGCUCACUAGUUCGAGGCAUGUGGACAUGUGCAGGCCAAAAGGCACCAGUGAUGUGGUGUCUUGAGUGCUUCAAAUGGAGGAGGAUGGCAAGGUUUGCUAGCUAGAAAAUAAUCCCAGCUCGUUUGUGUGCGUGUUGCUGUUGUUUGUGUCUGCUCCAUCGUGUGGCGAUUUGGGGCUGCGUUGGUUGCAUGUGUAGGUGCUGCAUCGUGUCUGUGUGUGUGCAUGGAGAUAGAUGCUCCUACGUAAAUUACGUGGAGUCUGUUAGGCAGUUCGUGCGUGUAGCCAUAGAGACAUGCAAAGGCAUGAGUUCGCUAUGUCUUCAGGUUCGCGCGGCAUGCAUUGCUAGCUAGCAACUGUCAUAGCCUAUUUAAAUAUCUAUAAGAAGCACAUGCAAGAAAAUAGCAGAACUGCUAUUGCAAUUUGAGGGUCAUUUUUUUUGGUCUCGUGUUGUGCUUCUUCUACAUCUAUCUAUCU
rnacentral:lncRNA from 1 species